AGUAUUUGUAUGCUAUGCCUCUUGUUUGGAUUCUAGAAACAAUAGCUUCACUCCAUUGUAUAAAGUCAGCAGCUUGUUUCAUAAACAGAGAGGAACGUCGAGUUAUGAUUUUUAUCACUCCGAUAGUGUUCGAUAAUUUAUUAAUGUUUCUAACAUGCAGUCUUAUUCAUUCGAAGGAAACUAGUACUCGUGAUUAUUAUUGUUAUUAUUAUAGCUCCUUUCCUAUAUCUAUAUGUUACAUGAACUAGAAAAGCCGGCACUAAAAAAGAGAACCUUGAGGAGAUCCUUCCAUGGUAGUUGUUCUGAUGUCGUUGUAGUGCUUUUGUGGAUCUGUAUGGUUCACCUUGAGAUGGCUCUAGUGUUCUCACGACUAACUCAUGAAGAAGAAGACCGUGAAUCCGCAGGUAACAAUCAUCACUGUUUACUUCAUCUGCUCACGGGUUUCCAGAUUUUUACCAGGGAGAAUUCCUUCAUCUGUUAGUUUUCCUUGAUUUCUUGUGUAAGGUUGCACCAUCUAAAUUUGACAAAGAGUUGGGAUUUGGUAUUUGGUUAGGGAAAGCAGCGCACGAUGGAGGGACAGAUUGUGGGGAACAAUUUUCCGUUGGAAUGAAAGGUGCAGAGUUUUGCAUUGGCAUUAGUCCAGGAUGGUUAAGAAACCUUAGCAUAUCUGCUGAAUCAUUAAUCCCAGGCAAGCCAGCUCCUAGAACAUGUGCAGGCAGAAACUGUUGUUCGCCCAUUUGCAUUCCCACACCCAUUGCUAGACCCAUCUGAGAGUAGUUCGGCCCCAAAGGCAUCAUCAUUGAUGGUGUAACAAAUCUGUUACCCAUCGUCAUCAUCUACCAUCCAACAUUUAUACAGGAACUUGUGGCCUCGCAUCAUCUGACUCGUCAUCUAGACUCUGCGUUGAGACAAAACCUGUCUUCAGACAAGAACCUAACAAGAUAGACCAAACCAAAAAAAUUGUGAAUCAAUCCCUCUUACACUGCUUAGAUACAUCGAUCCUUCACUGUCUUCAGUGAAACCUACGGAGGAAGUGUCAAAGCCCAAUUUGAACGACCUAUCAGCAACCACGGAUUGCUCAUCAGGAGGUAUAAACUUGAUCUUCUUUCGGUUAUGAUAAUCAACCAUCAUCCUCUUUGAUGAAGAAGCUUUCAAAGUCUCAGAAUCGUCAACAUGUUUAUUGCUUUCCAACAUGUUUGUUUCAUGGGCAGCAGCAACAUGACUUUGUGGAACAACCUGCGUGUCCCCGAGAUUUGUGAUGGCACCACCACCACCAUGGAUGAUACUCUUCAUGAAAUCCUCGUUAUACUCUGCCUCAUACAAAUCCAUGAUCGAUUUGGUACGUUGAUUAUGCAGAGAAACGUUGGAUCUUUGGCCCUUUGCAAGAAUCUGGCCAUUCUCAAACACAAGCUCCAUAUACUCUUGAUCGCUUAACCUGCAACAAUAAUCGGUUGGUAAGAACAUCAUCGUCUGCACACAAACACACACAUAUAUAUAUAUAUAUAUAUAUAUAUAUAUAUAUGUGUGUGAAACAGGGAAACAAGAUUGAAGAACUUAAUUUGGUCUGAAGGUGGAUGAUGGGGAAGUCAUAUUUUGUUGUCUUGUUGAAUGUUCCAAAAGUUAUUUCUUCAGUGGAAGUAAGUGAAAGCUAAUCUUUCUUUUGUUGAUCAACUUCAGACUCUUUUGCUCUUAUUUUAUAUUUCGCUUUUCUUUCCUUUUCAUUUUUUUGGUAUUAUUAUCUCUUUCACCUGUUUUUAAUUAUUUUUUCAGGUGCAAUGAAUUUCCUGUUGUACAGUACCACUGUUUAUAUAAGUCGAAUCUUAGCAUCUUUGAGAUUUUUUUUUUGAUACUUUAUUGUGCCUUUAUAAAUUAUAAAAAGAUUAUUUAA
rnacentral:lncRNA from 1 species